rnacentral:lncRNA from 1 species
UUGCCACGUCUCUCCUUGCUCCACUCUUUAAACCUGAAUCUGCUCCUAAUGAAGACAUUAGGGCUGAUUCCAACACAAUAAACAGUUAUGCUGGCAGCGCGGGGAGUUCUUCUUUUGGGCCACGAUAAUAUUCUUACUGUAAGUAAUAAGCUCGCACUCUCUUAAUGACUUUCUCUCAGAGAUUCUGAACCGUUAUUUAAUCAGAACUGAUUUGAAGUCAAAGUUUUUAAUUUUGUGAAUCAUGUUUCUUAUUCAACACUAUAAGAGAAUGGAUAUAGACCGUCGACUGAUAGGCAAAUAUCUGAAAAUUUGUGUUUUGCAUAAUGACUAAAUUCUGGCAGGAAACCACGAGAACCAUAUAAUAUUGUAAUAGAUGCACUUAAAACUAUUAAGGAUUCCAAAUUGUUUGAUGAUCAACAUUGAUUUGAAGUCACAAGUAUUUGAUAUUUUUGAAUCAUAUUUUUUUCACUCAGCUCUAAGAUAAUGGAUAUAGUGCGUUGAGUGAGUAGGCCAAAUAUCUGAGAAAUUGUGUUAUGCAUAAUGGCUAAUUCUGGCAGGAACUUUAGAAAAAACAAAUAAAAUUGAUUGUAAUGGAAAGACGUAUACCUUGUUUGCUUUGCAGUUUUAUCCCGACUUAUUUCCUACUUACACUAUAAUGGUCUCGAGUUUGGGACUUCGACAAAAGUUGACUUUUUUAUUUCUCACUAUUAUAUAUUUCUUUCUUCUAUUUUGUUUUUACAAAGACCAGUGCUAUUGCCUAUAUCAUCGAACUUUAUCUUCUUUAAAAUUUUCGUUGUUUUGGAGUCGUUGUCUUCUUUAACAGGCUUGAACUAUGCAUUCUCAUAUUGGAGCCAGUUACUUUUUUCUUUUUAUUUUGUGGCGGAGGGGGGAGGGGCACGGAUCUGUGGGACUGGAAGUGUUAUAAUAAGCUGUGAGUCCUGUGGUAGGACGAUGAAAGUCCUCCCAUUUUUCUAUUCCGAGUACUGUUUGCUUUGCAGAUACUGACAUGAACUACUAACCAAAUUCCAGCUUUGGAACGUUAAAAAAUUAUCAAGUAUGUGAAAGUUUCAGCAAAGAAUGUUGCUAGGAAAUACUAGACCUCGCGUGAAACUGUGGUAAACCAGAGUAUGAAAGUCACAUAGAAAUUUGGCAUAUUAACGAUCAAAGAAAGAGAGAUGCAAAGUAUCUUAUGAAGUCUCAAGCACUAAAGGAGCUUCACAUGAAAAUGACUAAUUGUGCUAGUAUAAAGCUCCAAAGUGUAAAACAUGCUUGAGCUGCUCUUUAUGAUUCUACUCGAACUGCAUUUGGUAUGAAAAUAAAGUGGCAAUUAGGUGAGUUUUUCCUUAUGAACUGACACAGAAACAUAAGAUUGAUUAGCUGCAUGCACAAUUUUUACUGAUGAAUCAGUCCAAAUUAGCAGAGAUCAUUUUCAUGCAUCUUUCAAUUAUCAUUUCAGGAGAAACUUCAGUAAAACACCCUUUUUCUAAGUCCAGACCUUGCAAGUGUCUCAGCAUGGUUCUGGACACGAUCAGCUCCAGUUUGGUUUGGCUCCAGGGGAGUACAAUCUAUCUCGGCUGAGUCCUUACCAUGAAACAGGUCAAGAGUUUGCACAAUUGGUAGGUCCUCGCCUCAGGCACUCACCUUCUGUACCAUCUGUCGUGCAGCUGAUAGAUCCAUAUACAUGACCGGAAUAUUGUACAUAGCUGUUAAUGGACAAGCUCACAUCAUCACUAUUUCUCUGGCUUGAGACACCUUUUCUGGACCUUCAUCAGGUUUCAGUGGAACGUGGUUGGGUUGACCCUAUCCUGCCCACUGGAUGCCCCUGAAGUUGAGGCAGUGAUAGCC